rnacentral:rRNA from 1 species
GACGAACGCUGGCGGCGUGCCUAAUACAUGCAAGUUGAGCGAUGAAGAUUGGUGCUUGCACCAAUUUGAAGAGCAGCGAACGGGUGAGUAACGCGUGGGGAAUCUGCCUUUGAGCGGGGGACAACAUUUGGAAACGAAUGCUAAUACCGCAUAACAACUUUAAACAUAAGUUUUAAGUUUGAAAGAUGCAAUUGCAUCACUCAAAGAUGAUCCCGCGUUGUAUUAGCUAGUUGGUGAGGUAAAGGCUCACCAAGGCGAUGAUACAUAGCCGACCUGAGAGGGUGAUCGGCCACAUUGGGACUGAGACACGGCCCAAACUCCUACGGGAGGCAGCAGUAGGGAAUCUUCGGCAAUGGACGAAAGUCUGACCGAGCAACGCCGCGUGAGGGAAGAAGGGUUUCGGAUCGUAAAACUCUGUUGGUAGAGAAGAACGUUGGUGAGAGUGGAAAGCUCAUCAAGUGACGGUAACUACACAGAAAGGGACGGCUAACUACGUG